CGUAUAUUAAAGUUGUUGCGGUUAAAAAGCUCGUAGUUGGAUUUCUGUCGGGAAUGGACGGUCCACACGCUGUGUGAGUAUCUGUAUCAGUCCUGGCAUCCUCCUAGAGAACGUACUGCUCUUAACUGAGUGGUGCGGAAUCUAGGACUUUUACUUUGAGGAAAUUUGAGUGUUUACGGCAGGCAAUCGCCUUGAAAACGUUAGCAUGGAAUAAUAACAUAAGACUUUUUGUUCUUCUUGUUGGUUCAUGAACGGAAAGUAAUGAUUGAUAGGGAUAUUUGGGGGCAUUCGUAUUAUGCGGUCAGAGGUGGAAUUCUUGGAUUCGCAUACGACGAACUACUGCGAAAGCAUUUGCCAAGGAUGUUUUCAUUGAUCAAGAACGAAAGUGUGGGGAUCGAAGAUGAUUAGAUACCGUCGUAGUCUACACCAUAAACUAUGCCGACUAGAGAUUGGAGGUUGUCCAUUUAUAACUCCUUCAGCACCUUAUGAGAAAUCAAAGUUUUUGGGUUCCGGGGGGAGUAUGGUCGCAAGGCUGAAACUUAAAGGAAUU
rnacentral:rRNA from 1 species